AAACUUUACAAUGCGGGAAACCGUGAUAAGGGAAUCUCGAGUGCCAGCAUAUAAUGUUGGCUGUCCAGAUGCCUAAAAAGCAUCUGUUAGCAAGGGCCGGGCAAGACCGGUGCCAGCCGCCGCGGUAACACCGGCGGCCCGAGUGGUAACCGCUUUUAUUGGGUCUAAAGGGUCUGUAGCCGGCCAAGUAAGUCCCUUGGGAAAUCUGGCAGCUUAACUGUCAGGCUGCUAGGGGAUACUGCUAGGCUUGGGACCGGGAGAGGUGAGAGGUACCUUGGGGGUAGGGGUGAAAUCUUGUGAUCCUCGGGGGACCACCAGUGGCGAAGGCGUCUCACCAGAACGGGUCCGACGGUAAGGGACGAAAGCUAGGGGCACGAACCGGAUUAGAUACCCGGGUAGUCCUAGCCGUAAACGAUGCUCGCUAGGUGUCAGUCACGGUGCGACCGUGAUUGGUGCCGUAGGGAAGCCGUGAAGCGAGCCACCUGGGAAGUAUGGCCGCAAGGCUGAAACUUA
rnacentral:rRNA from 1 species